AAGUCGUAACAAGGUUUCCGUAGGUGAACCUGCGGAAGGAUCAUUAUUACGAGAUCAAAAAUCGUAACACCCAAACAAAUUGUGCAUUCUGUACCUCCCGGUAGCAUUUGACCUUUGGAAAUGAAGGCUUCUUUGAUGUGCAGCUUCUGUAUGUCAAAGCACUUCUGAGCAGAUGAAGUGAAACACUUUCACGUGUUUGGUCUUUGUCAAAUGUUUUUCAACUACCGGUUAUCUAAAUCUGCUCAUUUUCUAAAUUAAACCAUUAACCCCAUGUAACUAUUUUGAACUAAAUAACAUCUGCUUGUCGCAGCUUACUUACUUACUUACUAAGCUAAGCGAAGCUUGCCCCAAGCUGAAUCAAAAAACCGAACUUAAGAACAACUCUUAGCAAUGGAUAUCUUGGUUCUC
rnacentral:misc_RNA from 1 species